AUGCAGGUGGUGCAACUCUGUGUGAUGGGAUGGCAGUGUAUGUUGGCUGCUUGAAGUUCUGACAGCAGCUAACAUGCUGCUGCUCUCUCUUCCCACAUACCUUAGUCAUCAAAAUGG
rnacentral:precursor_RNA from 12 species